GCAGGCCUAACACAUCCAAGUCGAACGGUAACAGCAGAGCUUGCUCUGGCUGACGAGUGGCGCACGGGUGCGUAACACGUAUGCAACUUACCCCAAACUGGAGGAUAGCCUUUCGAAAGGAAGAAUAAUACUCCAUAGUAUUUCAAAGAGGCAUCUCUUUGUUCUUAAAGCUUCGGCGGUUUGGGAUGGGCAUGCGUUCUAUUAGUUAGUUGGUGAGGUAACGGCUCACCAAGACCACGAUAGAUAGGGGGCCUGAGAGGGUUAUCCCCCACACUGGUACUGAGACACGGACCAGACUCCUACGGGAGGCAGCAGUGAGGAAUAUUGCACAAUGGACGAAAGUCUGAUGCAGCCAUUCCGCGUGUAGGAAGACUGCCCUAUGGGUUGUAAACUACUUUUAUAAAGGAAGAAACUCCCGCACGUGUGCGGGACUGACUGUACUUUACGAAUAAGCACCGGCUAACUCCGUGCCAGCAGCCGCGGUAAUACGGAGGGUGCAAGCGUUAUCCGGAUUUAUUGGGUUUAAAGGGUGCGUAGGCGGGCCUUUAAGUCAGUGGUGAAAUCCUGCAGCUUAACUGUAGAACUGCCAUUGAUACUGAAGGCCUUGAGUAUAGUUGAGGUAGGCGGAAUGUGUAAUGUAGCGGUGAAAUGCUUAGAUAUUACACAGAACACCGAUUGCGUAGGCAGCUUACUAAGCUAUAACUGACGCUGAUGCACGAAAGCGUGGGGAGCGAACAGGAUUAGAUACCCUGGUAGUCCACGCCGUAAACGAUGAUCACUCGUUGUUGGCGAUACACAGUCAGCGACUGAGCGAAAGCAUUAAGUGAUCCACCUGGGGAGUACGGUCGCAAGAUUGAAACUCAAAGGAAUUGACGGGGGCCCGCACAAGCGGAGGAACAUGUGGUUUAAUUCGAUGAUACGCGAGGAACCUUACCUGGGCUUAAAUGUAGAGUGCAUAAACGGGAAACUGUUUUUUCCUUCGGGACUCUUUACAAGGUGCUGCAUGGUUGUCGUCAGCUCGUGCCGUGAGGUGUCGGGUUAAGUCCCAUAACGAGCGCAACCCCUAUCGUUAGUUGCCAGCGAGUCAAGUCGGGGACUCUAACGAGACUGCCGGUGUAAACCGCGAGGAAGGUGGGGAUGACGUCAAAUCAGCACGGCCCUUACGUCCAGGGCUACACACGUGUUACAAUGGCCGAUACAGAGGGCAGCUACCUGGUGACAGGAUGCAAAUCUCGAAAGUCGGUCUCAGUUCGGAUCGGAGUCUGCAACUCGACUCCGUGAAGGUGGAUUCGCUAGUAAUCGCGUAUCAGCAAUGACGCGGUGAAUACGUUCCCGGGCCUUGUACACACCGCCCGUCAAGCCAUGGAAGCUGGGGGUACCUGAAGUCUGUAACCGCAAGGAGCGGCCUAGGGUAAAACUAGUUGACUGGGGCUAAGUCGUAA
rnacentral:rRNA from 1 species